AUGCUGUCAUCAUCAGCUUUUUCCCUGAGUAUCUAUUUGCAUUCCUCCAUCUGUCCUUCCCUUCGUCCCACCCUCUCUCGCUCAUUCUCACAAGUCUUCAUAUUUCUCUGUUUCUUGCUUUCUCUCUCCUGGUUAUUCAUUGUGUGUUGUCUUGAGUUGCCAGCAUUUGUACACAUGGCAUGUAAUGGCUAUUACACUGUCGUCAUUAUCCCUCUCCAGAACAGCCUCAACAGCCCUGACGCACUGCACUGCUUCCACUGGCUUAAGAGACGUAGAGAUCUGGAAAGACAAAAAGACAUCCUGUGGGCUGAACUGCAGGUUGUGGAACAAACCAAGCUGUGGUACCAGAAUCGUCUGAAGCUGAAUUUACAAAGGGAAGUUAGCUUCAGCACAGGUGACUUGGAUGAAGAGGGCAGGUGGUCCUGUGCCAGUCUGACCCCAGAAGAGAGUAGAGGUUCGGAUUGCGACCUCCGGUGGAGCAAUGCCACACUGGCCAAGGAAGUUAACUGGAAAAAUCAACAGAUUUCCAUGUUGGAGCUUGAGAAGGCACAACUUCUUCAGCAGCUGUUGUCUUAUAGCACACCUUAUUGAUGACAUACAUCCACACGUUUUCAACUUUAAAUCACAAAAAGGUUUCAUUAAAAUCAUGCAGCAAACUGUAAAUUUUAAAACAGCUUUGAAAAUACAGAAUGUUAAAAUUAAUUUAAACUCUGGUAUACACUGUCCAUCCUGUCUUCCUUUUUUUUUAACAGAAAGAGACUUAUAGUACAAUGGUCAAUAGUUUUUCUUUUUUUUUUUCUUAAAAUAUUUCAAGGGAUUGAAUUGUGCUUAUGUUUUUUCACCUUUAGUGGUGAGUUUAAAAUAUUAAAACAGGUAGUAUUGAACAGACUUAGAUGUUCAUCUACAUCCAAGUGACAUGUAGAUGAAUUCAUAUCCUGAUUAGCACUUAGCUGUAGAAAAAUUUGUCACUUAAACACAGUCAAUGACAUGUGUCAAGUGUGGAAGUGGAGAAUGUCUAUGGGUAUUCCCAUCCAAUGGCACAGAAAACAAUAUGGGCAGAUGAUAAGAUAAAUCUGCAUCAUCAGUUAUAAUGUCACUGAUAAACCAUCAGAUAAAAUCAAGCCCAAGGUGUAGCCCUGAACAUGAGUUGGUCCAGACACCUAUUGCAUAAAGUCAAAAGUAUCAAGUAGACUAACUGUGAUUGUGUUUGUCUGAAAGAGGAAUGUCAGAUAUGCCUAAGAUGCCCUGAGGGUGAGUAAAUCAUGGGCUUAUUUUCAUUUUUAGAUGAACUAUCCCUUUGAUUUAUCCCUUACUUUAUGUAAGUUAAUCGCUUUUUUGUUUCUCGUGGAUGUUAUUAUGGCCGUGAAAUUAUUUUGCAGUAAUUUGUUCAGUAAUUUAUUCACAGUUCCUGAUUACACCUUCAGUGAAUAAACAUGUGCUUUUAUCAUUUUCUUCCUAGCUG
ensembl:lncRNA